GACUUGUAGGCAGGAUCUAUUUGUGUCACAUUCUGGGUUACAGCAGCUUCAUAUGAUGUUUAGACUGGUGAAAAAGGACUUAUAUCGUGCCACAAGACAAAGCCAGGACAUAGUAAAUUAACAGUCUGUUGCACUAACUUGACACUGACUUCAGUCUUUCUUUCUUUGUAAAGUGGAAUUAUGUCUGUUUUCUGAAUCUGUUUUGGUGGUUGACCUUGCAUGAGCUUCGUCCAUUAAACCCAAGUGCAAAUAUGGAUCUUGGACCAUUCAACAAGUAGGUCCGAUUAAAACACUGAUGCUUUAAUUCAUGAAGAAGUCUGAGCUGAUGGCAAAAAUUCUGAAUUCGCAUCUCACCAGUGUUCAGUCUCAGACUGUUGCUUCAUGGUUUAAGAAUAAUAUGAGGUAGAAUCAACUUUGCACUGGUGCUCCUCUAUGGAAACUCUUCUGUUGAUUUGAUUUACCCACAAAAGAACUCUUGGGGCUCUGUACUAGAAUUUGAAAGGGUAAACAUUGAGCAGUACCACAUUAAAUGUUUCGUUGAUCCCUUUUUUGAAUAUGAUCCACUGAGAAAAUUCAGAAUGAUAAUAAAGAGAACGUAAGCAACAAAAUACAUUUUAACAAAUACUCCUAUAAAACCCUGGAAAGCUUCUUAAGUACUAUGAAAUGUGUGUCUUGAUGCAUAACAAAAGACAUUAAGACAUGCAUAACAUUAGACAUUAAGUCUUGAGUAGAACUGACUAAUGUUGCCACACUCUUCAGCCAUCUGGUGGCAUCUGGGUUGGGAACAGGACUGGAGAAAAUCUUCUCUAGACUAAGACUAACUGCAUGAGCUCCCAAAUGUCUGUAUAUGUAUAUAUCUGACCGAAAACACUCCUAAAAUUGUUACAGCCUGAUGAAAUAGAAAAUUAUGCUGAUUGAGAUCCUUCUAUUCUGUUCUGACAAGUGAGAUAAAUAUUCAAUUCUCGGUAAAACAGAAUGGCUGCUUUUUACUGAAGAGUUAACUCCUGUUCUCAUCAAAAUGACAUCAACAUUUACAACAGUUUUAGGUCUGAUAUUUCAUGGUACUGAGGUUGCAUUACCUUGUACCUGUUACUUUUGCUCUUGUUUUAAUGUGCUGUCACCUGAGUCACCAGCAUUAAAUCUGGAAGGACUUAAUAGUCUGCAGCUAUGGACGUAGUACUGUGAUCUCAGUAUUUUAACCGUAACUUGUAUUUGAGUGGUUUAAAGUUUUGGUACAAAUUGUGUAUGAAACAAAAGCGCUGUCUGAAAUCUGGCAGGAUCAUAUAAAACUGAACUGAUACAGGUGACUGUCUUUUGACAUAAGUAUGAGUUUCUGUCUAUCAAUAUCUUUGUUUCAUGUGUUAUCUUUCUGAGAUUCAUGUUUAAAAGAAAUUCUUCCUCAUAUGAUGAUUGAAAAACUUAUUUCAAAAAUGAAUAAAUAGUGCGUUUUCAGAAGGGAGAAAAUGGGUUGAAAUAAAGCAUGCAUUGAGUUAAGUAUGCAGCCAAAUCCUAAUCAAAACUCUCUCAAGAAACAGAAUCAUACAGUCUUAUCCUUUGCUGAAACUCAUAAUGUCACUGUGUAAGUACAAGAGAAAUAAAGCUUUCAU
rnacentral:lncRNA from 7 species